AAAACUUGGAAGGGAAGCCCUAAAGUUUGGAUUGUACUACACAGGGAGUUAAAUAUUAUUAAAAACAACGUACUCCCUCCAAUAAAAAGGUUCCUAUGGGUUCUUGUUACCCCCAUAAGGAUUAAAACCUGCGCUUCAGCUGGGCAACUUUCCUGCUUGAUCAUGCCAUAAUUUAGAAGUUUGCUGAGCUACAGCUAUUUGCAGUUGUUAGACUGAAACGUCCUUUCAUCUCUGCAAUCUCAUUCAGUCCCCUAGCAUUGUGGGGAUUCAGGCAAACCACUAUAAAUAACUGAGCCUUUUCAUGUCAGCUGGUACAAAUACCAGCCACUUCGAACAAUCUGACCUUUCUUGGGGAUCUGACCGAUCUGCAGUGGAAGACGGCUAAUAUCUUUCAGGAUCUUCCAUGGUUAAGUAAAUCAAGAGAGAAUGCAUUUGUGUUGGACCAUGCGAAAGCACAAAGUGAUGCUGGUUCCUUCCCAUACUGACUAAACCCGUAUGUCUGCUGUGCAUAAACACCGCUACCUGCUUGGAACCCCUUCAGACCUCAGAUUCCCAUUUGCAGCUGUCUCUGGCAUGUCGCAAGAAAAGAUGAUGGAUGGGCAGAAUUUUAUUUCCAUUAAAAUGAAGCCAACUAAAUAUUUUUGUCUGCUUUAUUAAAAAAUACUAUUUCUUGCUUUGCUUAAUCUUGAAAAAUGCAGCAUGUUUCUGCAGCUGAUUUUGCAUUUUAUCUAGAAAAUGGGUGCCUGAGGUGGAAUGAUUUUCUCUGGGAACAGAGUAAGCUGCAGUUUUGACUUCCUUCUGCUGGGCAGAGGGCACCCAGUGUGGGAGAAGCUAAUAGCCCCACAGCUACCAUCUCCCCAGAGGGGUCAUACUUCAUGGUUUGGGCAAGAUGACCCCCAAAGUCCAACAAUGAAGGCAGUCAGGGAGACUGGAGAUCCUCCUGUCAACUAAGCCUUGCCAUCAGGCUUGCUGCUCCUCUUCCUGACCAUGUCCGAGUCCUGCAGAGCACUGCUCUCCCUCCUUGAGGGGUUUCUGUAAUUCCUGCUGUUGACACAAUUCGUAGUUGGAAUCAGUUCCAGAAGAUUGCUGGAAGAGAGCACUGAAGUGUUUGGAUUUGAUGGGAUUGGGUGGCAGGGAGGGAAACACAUUAGAAGCACAAGAGCUUGGCAUCUAACACAGGGGCCUGAGGGUGUCAGAUUUGAGUGAACAACUGCUCUAUCACGGUAUCUAUAUAACUAAAUCUGUCCAAAAAACACAGUUUGUCCAAGGUUCUUCUUUACUUGCAUUGUUUCUCCUCCUUCUCUCUUGUUUUCCCAGAAAUAGAACAUGACAUUUAUUUUUAUGGACAGCAUGAUCUUAUGGCUAUUCCCUAGUGACGGGGUAAUCUGAACACAAUUAUGUUCUGUUGACAAAAAGUGAUAAAAGUGUAUUGUGUCAACACUCUGAACUAACAGAUUUGUCAUCUGUUCUACUCUCAGAUAAUAGAAACAGAAUUAGAAAAUGC